UUUAAGCUUCCUGGUUGCUUCUGCAAUCAGGCUCACCCACUGAAUAGAUGGCUCACAGGCAGAAGCUCACACCAGGUUGUAUGUGCUACAUAUGAAUUGUAUUCAGAGUCUGAAAAUCAGUUCCAUUGACCUCAACAGCACAGCAGCAAAAUUUAUGGCAGCAGUAACUCCGAAAUGAAGCCCGCUUUCUAAUUGUGCGCUCUGGGAUUACGAAGGCACUAACAAUAUUACUUAGUGGACAGAAAAGACACAGGAACAGCAGAGGGAUUGGGACUUGUUUUGCACUCCCUCCUCCAUUUUAACCAAUUUUUACAGGAGUACUAUUGAGAGUGUCCUGACCAGCUGCAUCUCCAUCUGGUACGGGAAUUGCAAGAUAUCUGACCACAAUGGAUUGUGAGGACUGCUGAGAGGGUCUUCGGGGUCUCUCAUCCGAGAUACUUACCAGGAGUGCUGUGUACGCAGGGCCCUAAGCAUCGUCAAUGAUCCCUGAUGCUGCUUGACCCACUAAGUUCUUCCAGGACUUUGUGUGUUUGUAGAAUCUCAGAUGGUUGUGAGGAAGCAUGCAGGAGUGAGAUUGAAUUGCUGGUUUGCAAAAACAACCUUCCACUCAACAUCAGUAAGACCAAGGAACUGAUUGUGGACUGCAGGAAGGGGAAGUCCUGGAAACACACACCAAUCCUCAUCGAGGAAUGAGCAGUGGAAAGGGCUGCAUCGCCCUAAUCCUUUCCUGUCUGGUUCCUGAAUAGUUGUUUGAAUUGAAACACUGGACGAUUCAGGAAUGCUUUGCUCACUGUGAUUUCAAGCAUUCAGGCUUCAAGAUGCCAGAAGCAGCCAGAAGUGAAAAUGAAAUGAUUUCACUAUUUCAACAAGUAAGGAACCACAAAGAAUUUGAAGGUAUCAACAAUCAUCUUGAAUGUGACAAUGAAAAUGAAGAUUUGGAGGAUGCAAUCGUCAAAAACAUUGUGUGAAGAUGAUACCAGCUCUGCGUCCAGGGUUUGAAGGGCAAUUCGUUUUAUCAUCACAACAUCAAGCAGACUGCAGUGAAAAUGGAGUUUGAAGUGGGGGAAAAAAGGAUUUGGAAUUACUCCUGGAUUGUUCUAUAAAACCAGUGUAAAUAAAUGCC